GCAAUGAUUUGCUUGUGCCUGCAAGGGAGGGUCAUUAGAAAAAAAGCUGCCUCAUCCAAACAAUUCUUUUAUGAUCUCUAUGCCGAUGGAGUGAAGGUUGGCUGGCGCUAGGUAUCAAUUGCACUGGGUUGGAACAAGAUAGUAGCUUCUUUGUUCAUAAAGGAAGAGUUUUCUGUUAUAGUAGCACUGGGUUGACAUAUAUCUGCACUUAUUUGUAUUCUGUUAUAGUAGCUUUGUUCUUAUAAUUUUGUCUUGCAUUCUCUGAAGCAUGCCUUAACAGUUGGAAUUAUCCCUGCAGGAUCUGAGAACUCACUUAUUUGACUUUUAUGGGUGUCAAAGAACAUGUUUCAGCAUCGUUAUUAAUUGUUAAGGAUUGCUUUAGAACACUAGACGUAUUGGCUGUUGACUGCCUCCAAUCAGGGCCAAUACACUUUGGUCAAUAGGAUUCCCGUAUGUUGGUGUGAUGUACCUCAGCUUGGAAGCUCCCAAAAUGAUUUCACUAGCCUUUGAAGGUCAAAUUUGCUGGUUCUGACUUGUGCCCUGCUACUAUGUAGGACCGGCCUCAUCCAUUGAGCUUCUCUCUAAUUGAAAUUAUUGCAGAUUUUCAAGCUUUCGUGUAGGUAUAUUACAUGUUAGAUCCGAAAACUAUGCUCAGCUGCUGAACUUCUCGGUCCGUGGUAAAAUCAGGGCUCUAAACAUUCGUUCCUUGAUUAUUCGGUGUUUGUUGUGUAUGCAACCUUAUAACUGAUGCAUGAUGCUUCAAGGAACUCUCCACAGAAAUUAAAUUGAAGAAUCAUGUUAUAUUUCCUGGAGGCCUCAUAGCAAAGAUAUUUGCCAAUUCACAAAGCUAUUAUCUUGAACCGACAUGAGCUUCCUAUACAAUUAAAAGAAAGAUUAUGUACUGCACAUUUGUAAGUUUUCACAUACCUCUGCCUUGAAGAUGAUGCUAUCCACUAAUCCACUAUCCAUGUUGAUGUUGUGCAGGAUCCUCUCACUGUAGUAUUUAUCAAGGUUCAAAAAAUGCAGUAAGCGCUAAGCGGUAAGUGAGGUACCGAUUAGAGGAAAUGUAGCUUAAGCGUUCUAUACGAACAUAGUAGGAGGGGCAGCCGGUUGCACUUUCAGCAAUCAUCCUUCAAUGUUGGCCCAGUAAGGCAAUAUUUCAGCAGCCGGUGCUCUACCAUAUACAACUACUUGAAGAAACCUGACCAAGAGCCCCAAGUAAUUUCGUGUUUGAGUAUCACAUUGCUCUUUGUGAACUAAAUAUUUUUCACGAAUGUUGUAUUAUGAACAUUUGUACUACUUUUGAUCUGUUCACUCAAGAUGAUUGUUGAAGAA